AAAUCGGUAAAAAAAAAAAAUCCUCGACGAACCAGACGCCGAAGCGACCCGCCCCGUCUCCUCCCCUCCCAUCUCCAUCUCCAUCCACCAGAACGAGGGAACACAGGGCAAACCCUUGCUUCGAUUCCCCUCUCCUCGUCGGAAGUAGAGCGGCGGAGGCGGAGGCCAUGUGGCCCGGCUGCGGCGGGCGGUACUACUGGGCGCCCGGCUCGGCGCGGCGGGGGGAGGCGAGGGGCGUCGCGGUGCUGUUCGCGUGGGUGUGGAGCGACGAGGCGCAGCUGCGGCCGUUUGUGGAGCUCUACGCCGCGCUCGGGUGGCGGUGCCUCGUUUGCCACCCCGACCUCGUCGCGCUUUAUCUCUCUGAGAAAGCAACAUCACUGGCAUCUGGUGUUAUUUGUGAACUGGUGAAGGAACUGAAAAUGAAACCUGUGCCAACUGUUCUUGCUUCUUUUUCUGGUGGCUCAAAGGGAUGCAUGUACAAGGUUAUUCAGUUACUAGAUGGAAACUGUGAAGGAGAUGCGACCAUGAAGGACUAUCGAUUAGUGAGAAACUGUAUCUGUGGGCAAAUCUAUGACUCUGGUCCAGUAGAUUUUGUCAGUGAGGUGGGCACCCAGUUUCUCCAGAAGCCUGUGAUUGGCAAUUCAUCUCAACCGUUGAUAUUUCGUUCAUGGAUGGCAAAGGCCCUGGCAUCUGGCAUGGAUACUCUCUUCCCAAGCAGAAUUGAAGCUCAGCGUGCAGAGUACUGGCAUGCACUAUACUCAUCAGCAGGACUGGGUCCUGUUCUUAUACUUUGUUCAGAAGAUGACGAUCUUGCUCCAUGCCAUGUUAUCUGUGGUUUUGCCAGGCGUCUGAUUGAACUAGGCACUGAUGUUAAGCUUAUUAAAUGGAGUGACUCCCCUCAUGUUUGCCAUUACAAGUCACACGAAGCUGAAUACAAGACUGCUGUAAAUGAUAUACUGGAGAAAGCUCUUGUUACCUUCUGCCACAGAAGCCAGCUGUUUGACACAAGUGCGAAAGGUGACCAGGAGUACAAGAUAGCGCACUCAGUGUGCAGUCUACACAAAGUGGCAGCCAAUUCAAAUGAGAGCCUAAGAAGGGUUGCUAGCAGUUCCAGUGACCACUUCUUCUUGCCAAGUUCGAAGGACCAUGAUGAGUCUAGGGAACCGGAUUCUCUGAUUGAUGACCAGAGACGACAAGUAUCCCAUCCACCCUGCAUGGAGCCUAAAGGAGUCCUUGGCCAAAUCCUGUUUGAUGUUUGUGUUCCGAAUAAUGUUGAAGGAUGGGACAUCAAGCCGACAAUAUCCCCAAACGGACGACCAACAUUCGCUUCUGCCCGGCAACUUGGUCCGUUCAAUCCCAUCAAGUACUUCCGACGUUCAAGACUAUAGUUUGUUUCAGGAAUUGAGAAUUUUGUGUACAUAACGGAGGCAAGGUGUCUAGUGGCAACUCUGAGCAAGGUUUCACCUAACAAUAGGAUAACGAUAAUCAUAUCUGCUUUAGAAAAUGUGAAGUCUCCAGGAGCAUUCAUCUUGAACAGACGUUGCGGAGAAGCUGAACCUUGUUGGAUGUUCCUUCGGGGAAAAAAGCAUUUUGCUUCAAUUUCUCCACGUUCCAAGACAGAUCUAAUACAACCUUGUACACUGGCUAGUUUGCAGUACGUACAUCGAAACUCAUAUGAUGCUUGUAUUGAGUUCUUUUCUAUUCGCAUCAUUUCCAUUUCACAUUCAUAUUUACUGCAGUAAUUUUCGUCCAAUAUGGGUAGAAAGAUAAUUCCCUUUAUUUCUACAGUGGCAAACAGAGAGGAAUAACUGCGACUGCGGUGCAUAACAUACUGCAUGUGUUUAACAUUGUGCGGCUACCCUAGCUAGAUAACAUUGUGCGGCUACGAGCAUAAACAACAGACAAUUCGCGGAGCAAAUUGUUCUGGUCCACGGAUGCCUUUGAGAGCCUACCAAAAGAAUCUGAUUCUUCACUAAUCAAUAUAUUCUUCUGCGUCUUUGGAACAAAAAAUCUCAGUUUAGAGGCUUUUGUAGGAUCAAUUUCCAGAACUUUUCUUAAACAACUUUCAUCCUUUUACCCCAAAUACCCUAACAUUUUGUCCUUCAAGCACGUACACCAGUGAAUAUUUUGUAGAAGCAUAUCAAGGAAAAGCAGAUAUCGAUGACGGAACAAUGUGUAGAUCAUGAUAAUCACGCAUCGUUAUUGUUCAGGGGAAUCUGAUGGCAAAAUAGGCGUUGCAGAUUGCACUCUUGGACGAAAAAAAAACCCUUAGCAGACAAACCACCUCCGGCUUCUUCUUUUUUCCAAGUAUAUAUAUUAUGGACGAGCAACCUAUUAAUAUCAUUUUCUUAUGACAAAGUAGUCUUCUGUAUAAUAUUAGUCGAUCCUUUUAAAGUUUGACUGCACACAUGUAUAUACGAUGAUAUCUAUCUUAGACGGGAGGCAGUAAAUAUGUCAGAAGGUCUUACAAAUUCUUUUUGUAUGGUUUCCCUAUAAUGCUAGAGUUUAUGCCGUUUGGUCGGUUUCCGAAA